rnacentral:rRNA from 1 species
UGGCGACCGGCGCACGGGUGAGUAACGCGUAUCCAACCUUCCCUAUACUAGAGGAUAGCCCGGCGAAAGUCGGAUUAAUACUCUAUGUUGUAUUUCGAGGACAUCUGAAUAAUACCAAAGGUUUACCGGUAUAGGAUGGGGAUGCGUCUGAUUAGGUUGUUGGCGGGGUAACGGCCCACCAAGCCCACGAUCAGUAGGGGUUCUGAGAGGAAGGUCCCCCACAUUGGAACUGAGACACGGUCCAAACUCCUACGGGAGGCAGCAGUGAGGAAUAUUGGUCAAUGGACGAGAGUCUGAACCAGCCAAGUAGCGUGCAGGAUGACGGCCCUAUGGGUUGUAAACUGCAUUUAUACAGGGAUAAAGUGCACUACGUGUAGUGUUUUGUAGGUACUGUAUGAAUAAGGACCGGCUAAUUCCGUGCCAGCAGCAGC